UACGAAGGGUGCAAGCGUUACUCGGAAUUACUGGGCGUAAAGCGUGCGUAGGUGGUUUGUUAAGUCUGAUGUGAAAGCCCUGGGCUCAACCUGGGAAUUGCAUUGGAUACUGGCAGGCUAGAGUGCGGUAGAGGAUGGCGGAAUUCCUGGUGUAGCGGUGAAAUGCGCAGAUAUCAGGAGGAACACCGGUGGCGAAGGCGGGUCUCUGGGCCGAUACUGACGCUGAGGAGCGAAAGCGUGGGGAGCGAACAGG
rnacentral:rRNA from 1 species